UUCUUGUCCAUCUGACUUCUCCACACCAGGCGUUGUGGUGGGCAAUGGGACAUAGAGAAAAAAACCCAAUUUCUGCCCUUAAAGAGUUCUAGUUGGGAAGUAGACUUCCCAAUAAUACUUCUAUCACAAAAUGAUCCACCUCAUUCUGACUCCAAGUCCCUAUCCUGCCAGGCUUGUGAGAAAGGCUGAGCAGCACUCUGUUCCUCACCUCACUGGCGAGGCUGGGAUGGGGCCUCCCUAGGAGCUUGUGCAGCUGCUCCCCACUAGAUGCUGCCUAACAUGGCAUCACCAGGAAGUGGGGAGCAGAUUCCCAUCUAGAUGAUUUUGCACUCCUUCCUAAAGGGGACCUCUUCUCCUAGACUCAUCGGUUCUCAAAGGCACAGUCCCUGGGCCCUCCCUCUCCAGACCACCCUUCAUGGUCCC